rnacentral:rRNA from 1 species
GCUAAGCAGGUUUGGGCCUGGUUUGUACUUGGAUGGGAGACCGCCUGGAAAUACCAGGUGCUGUAAGCUU